UGUGGUGGCGAUAGCGAGAAGGAUACACCUGUUCCCAUGCCGAACACAGAAGUUAAG
rnacentral:rRNA from 1 species